rnacentral:rRNA from 1 species
CCUACGGGGGGCUGCAGUGGGGAAUAUUGGACAAUGGGCGAAAGCCUGAUCCAGCCAUGCCGCGUGUGUGAAGAAGGCCUUCGGGUUGUAAAGCACUUUCAGUGGGGAAGAAAGCCUUGGGGCUAAUACCCUCGAGGAAGGACAUCACCCACAGAAGAAGCACCGGCUAACUCCGUGCCAGCAGCCGCGGUAAUACGGAGGGUGCGAGCGUUAAUCGGAAUUACUGGGCGUAAAGCGCGCGUAGGCGGUCUGAUAAGCCGGUUUGUGAAAGCCCCGGGCUCAACCUGGGAACGGCAUCCGGAACUGUCAGGCUAGAGUGCAGGAGAGGAAGGUAGAAUUCCCGGUGUAGCGGUGAAAUGCGUAGAGAUCGGGAGGAAUACCAGUGGCGAAGGCGGCCUUCUGGACUGACACUGACGCUGAGGUGCGAAAGCGUGGGUAGCAAACAGGAUUAGAUACCCCGGUAGUC